GGUACAACAGUGCCCCCCAGCUUACCGGUCUCCUUCCAGAUGGGCAGGUAUUCAUCCUGCUGGAUGUCCAACAUAAUCUCCAGGCCAUUACCCAUCCCUCCCUGCUUCGAUUUCUUCACUUUGGCCUUCUCCCCGUUGAAGAGGUAACUACAUCACGCUGUACCAGCUGGAGGGAAAACAGAUCAUUUGACAACCUCAAUCAGAGACGUGUCAAACGUCCUGUAGUCUUUGCAAUGAGUCUUUUGUUUCCAUCAUCCUAGUUAUACUGCAGACUGGCUAUGCUGACGUUCCUCACAGUUAUGUUCCAGGCUGUCUAUAUGAGGCUGUCGGUAAGUUUAGUUUCACACAGUGAAACAACAGCAGACGGAGAUUUCCGUUACCUCACUGUGUAUCUUUGAGUGCUAUGUGUCACUCUAAGCUGUAGAUCUAACUCCAAUACAACUCUGGCUGUUCACAAUGUAGAUACAAUGUUAAUAGAUAAAUGAAAAGUAACAUGACUGCUAUAUGUCUUUUGGAUUUAUUUUUUAAAAAUGUAUAUGUCAUGUUUUUUAUAAUUUACAGUUCAUGUGUUUUUAUGCCCUUACAGUGUAUGCAUUUUAUUUCUUCUCCUACAGUGAACAACAGAAGCAAAGUUUUUUGGUUACAAAUACCAUACACAUUCUAAAUUGCUAACUUGUCAGCUCAGCAUGAAGUAUAGUAUAUUGUGGAUAUACUGUAUGCAACUACUAGUAUAUAACCAUUUGCACUCAUAUAAGUUACUGUGGCAAUGUUGUGAUGUACCAGAUAGGCCUAUAUUCUGAUUUAUAUUUGAUAAUUGAAAUGAACUAUUUAAGUUAUUUUUACCUGAUAUUCAAACAACUGUGAGAAAUCUAAAUGGUUUCUGACAAUGGGACACUGCUCAUGUGCAGCAAUAUGUGUUUUAAUGUCAAUGCUUCCGUGUACUAUUCAUAUAUUGACCCCUAUUCCAACAGUUUAAUACAAUAAUUUUGCUCUUUGUACUUGAAUCCCAACUUUUUUUAUUAUUUCAACUUUGUAACAUGGUUUGUGUCAGUCAGUUUAAUAAAGUAUGGGUGGGGUGA